GGUGGAGCUUAGUAGAAAACCCUAAUACACCCCUCUCAUAUGGCGGUGUCCGAUGCCGGAACCCCUUUAAUCUGACGAUGCAAUUAGGGUUUCCGAAUUCCUUUAACAUGACAUAUCAUUCAUAUUGUAUGCGCAUUGCAUUAUGCCAUGUCGUGAAUGUUUGUUUCCCUUUCCGGUAUUUGGUUCUUCGCGCUAGGAUCUGAGCCGGAGUCCGACGUCAACGCCACCGAAGAACAGUACUCAUCCGCUGAGGGACAAGAUGAAGUCGCUACAGCCGAAGGUGGUUUCUACGUUAACAUCGAUGGUUAGUUUGGAGUUCCCAGGCAGCAGCCUGCGACUUAUGGGCUGGGACGUCGCUUUAUGUUAUGGCUUCUUAAGCCCUUUGCUAUCUUGUUAUUUAGAAUAACAUAAUUUGCUUCCGUUGCUUGUUGAAUGUUGGGUCAGUGACCUCUGCGUGUUAUAAUUUGGAUCUUACUCUGCUAAGAGUUGUAAUAUAUUCUUUUGAGUCGUAGAGUCA